rnacentral:rRNA from 1 species
GACGAACGCUGGCGGCGCGCCUAACACAUGCAAGUCGAACGAGCGAGAGAGAGCUUGCUUUCUCGAGCGAGUGGCGAACGGGUGAGUAACGCGUGAGGAACCUGCCUCAAAGAGGGGGACAACAGUUGGAAACGACUGCUAAUACCGCAUAAGCCCACGGCUCGGCAUCGAGCAGAGGGAAAAGGAGCAAUCCGCUUUGAGAUGGCCUCGCGUCCGAUUAGCUAGUUGGUGAGGUAACGGCCCACCAAGGCAACGAUCGGUAGCCGGACUGAGAGGUUGAACGGCCACAUUGGGACUGAGACACGGCCCAGACUCCUACGGGAGGCAGCAGUGGGGAAUAUUGCACAAUGGGGGAAACCCUGAUGCAGCGACGCCGCGUGGAGGAAGAAGGUCUUCGGAUUGUAAACUCCUGUUGUUGAGGAAGAUAAUGACGGUACUCAACAAGGAAGUGACGGCUAACUACGUGCCAGCAGCCGCGGUAAAACGUAGGUCACAAGCGUUGUCCGGAAUUACUGGGUGUAAAGGGAGCGCAGGCGGGAGAACAAGUUGGAAGUGAAAUCCAUGGGCUCAACCCAUGAACUGCUUUCAAAACUGUUUUUCUUGAGUAGUGCAGAGGUAGGCGGAAUUCCCGGUGUAGCGGUGGAAUGCGUAGAUAUCGGGAGGAACACCAGUGUCGAAGGCGGCCUACUGGGCACCAACUGACGCUGAGGCUCGAAAGUGUGGGUAGCAAACAGGAUUAGAUACCCUGGUAGUCCACACCGUAAACGAUGAUUACUAGGUGUUGGAGGAUUGACCCCUUCAGUGCCGCAGUUAACACAAUAAGUAAUCCACCUGGGGAGUACGACCGCAAGGUUGAAACUCAAAGGAAUUGACGGGGGCCCGCACAAGCAGUGGAGUAUGUGGUUUAAUUCGACGCAACGCGAAGAACCUUACCAAGUCUUGACAUCCCUUGACGAUGCUGGAAACAGUAUUUCUCUUCGGAGCAAGGAGACAGGUGGUGCAUGGUUGUCGUCAGCUCGUGUCGUGAGAUGUUGGGUUAAGUCCCGCAACGAGCGCAACCCUUAUGGUCAGUUACUACGCAAGAGGACUCUGGCCAGACUGCCGUUGACAAAACGGAGGAAGGUGGGGAUGACGUCAAAUCAUCAUGCCCUUUAUGACUUGGGCUACACACGUACUACAAUGGCGUUAAACAAAGAGAAGCAAGACCGCGAGGUGGAGCAAAACUCAGAGACAACGUCCCAGUUCGGACUGCAGGCUGCAACUCGCCUGCACGAAGUCGGAAUUGCUAGUAAUCGUGGAUCAACAUGCCACGGUGAAUACGUUCCCGGGCCUU